rnacentral:rRNA from 1 species
GUGUACGUACAAGCAGUGGGAGCCUUCGUAAGAGGGUGACUGCGUACCUUUUGUAUAAUGGGUCAGCGACUUAUAUUCUGUAGCAAGGUUAACCGUAUAGGGGAGCCGAAGGGAAACCGAGUCUUAAUUGGGCGUUAAGUUGCAGGGUAUAGACCCGAAACCCGGUGAUCUAGCCAUGGGCAGGUUGAAGGUUGGGUAACACUAACUGGAGGACCGAACCGACUAAUGUUGAAAAAUUAGCGGAUGACCUGUGGCU